UACGUAGGGGGCAAGCGUUAAUCGGAAUUACUGGGCGUAAAGCGUGCGCAGGCGGUGAUGUAAGACAGGUGUGAAAUCCCCGGGCUUAACCUGGGAACUGCAUUUGUGACUGCAUCGCUGGAGUGCGGCAGAGGGGGAUGGAAUUCCGCGUGUAGCAGUGAAAUGCGUAGAUAUGCGGAGGAACACCGAUGGCGAAGGCAAUCCCCUGGGCCUGCACUGACGCUCAUGCACGAAAGCGUGGGGAGCAAACAGG
rnacentral:rRNA from 1 species